rnacentral:rRNA from 1 species
UACGUAGGGUGCAAGCGUUGUCCGGAAUUAUUGGGCGUAAAGAGCUCGUAGGCGGUUUGUUGCGUCGGCUGUGAAAUCCCGAGGCUCAACCUCGGGUCUGCAGUCGAUACGAGCAAACUAGAGUGUUGCAGGGGAGACUGGAAUUCCUGGUGUAGCGGUGAAAUGCGCAGAUAUCAGGAGGAACACCGGUGGCGAAGGCGGGCCUCUGGGCAACAACUGACGCUGAGGAGCGAAAGCAUGGGGAGCGAACAGG